UACGAAGGGGGCUAGCGUUGCUCGGAAUCACUGGGCGUAAAGCGCACGUAGGCGGAUUGUUAAGUCAGGGGUGAAAUCCUGGAGCUCAACUCCAGAACUGCCUUUGAUACUGGCGAUCUUGAGUCCGGGAGAGGUGAGUGGAACUGCGAGUGUAGAGGUGAAAUUCGUAGAUAUUCGCAAGAACACCAGUGGCGAAGGCGGCUCACUGGCCCGGUACUGACGCUGAGGUGCGAAGCGUGGGAGCAACAGGGAUUAA
rnacentral:rRNA from 1 species